rnacentral:rRNA from 1 species
GAGCGAGAAAAGGGUAGCAAUAUCCUGAGUACAGCGGCGCACGGGUGAGUAACACGUGGGUAAUCUGCCCUAGAGUGGGGAAUAACACCGGGAAACCGGUGCUAAUACCGCAUACGAUCACGAUGUCUGCGGACGUUGUGAUGAAAGGAGCAAUUCGCUCCAGGAGGAGCCCGCGGCUGAUUAGCUAGUUGGUGAGGUAAUGGCUCACCAAGGCGACGAUCAGUAUCCGGUCUGAGAGGACGGUCGGACACACUGGAACUGAGACACGGUCCAGACUCCUACGGGAGGCAGCAGUGGGGAAUUUUUGGCAAUGGGGGAAACCCUGACCAAGCAACGCCGCGUGGGUGAUGAAGUCUCUUGGGACGUAAAACCCUUUCGACGGGGAAGAAACCGCAAGGUUGACGGUACCCGUAGAAGAAGCCCCGGCUAACUCCGUG